UACGAAGGUGUCUAGCGUUGUUCGGAAUUACUGGGCGUAAAGCGCGCGUAGGCGGCUUUUCAAGUCAGAGGUGAAAGCCUGGAGCUUAACUCCAGAACUGCCUUUGAAACUGUUGAGCUGGAGUAUUGGAGAGGAGUGGGGAAUACCUAAUGUAGCGGUGAAAUGCGUAGAUAUUAGGUGGAACACCGAUGGCGAAGGCACCACUCUGGACAAUAACUGACGCUGAGGCGCGAAAGCGUGGGGAUCAAACAGG
rnacentral:rRNA from 1 species